UACGAAGGGGGCUAGCGUUGUUCGGAAUUACUGGGCGUAAAGCGUGCGCAGGCGGCUUCUCAAGUCAGGGGUGAAAGCCCAGAGCUCAACUCUGGAAUUGCCUUUGAGACUGAGUGGCUUGAGUACGAGAGAGGUGAGUGGAAUUCCCAGUGUAGAGGUGAAAUUCGUAGAUAUUGGGGAAGAACACCGGUGGCGAAGGCGGCUCACUGGCUCGUAACUGACGCUCAU
rnacentral:rRNA from 1 species